AUUCCAGCUCCAAUAGCGUAUAUUAAAGUUGUUGCAGUUAAAAAGCUCGUAGUUGGAUUUCUGGUGCAUUCCACUGGCCUAUUGGUUAACUCCAACUUGGCUCAUUUGGAAUACGCCAUCUUUAGGCAGACCCGUCGUGGCAUUAGGUUGUCGUGAUGGUUACGCCUAUCGUUUACUGUGAAGAAAUUAGGGUGUUCAAAGCAGGCUUAUGCCAUGAAUACGUUAGCAUGGAAUAAUGAGAUAGGAUUUCGGUACUAUUUUGUUGGUUUGUGUACGGAAAUAAUGAUUAACAGGAACAGUGUUGUGGUUAUUCGUAUUUCGUUGUCAGGGGUGAAAUUCUUGGAUUUACGAAAGACGAACGACUGCGAAAGCAUUUACCAAGGAUGUUUUCAUUG
rnacentral:rRNA from 1 species